rnacentral:rRNA from 1 species
UACGUAGGGUGCAAGCGUUGUCCGGAAUUAUUGGGCGUAAAGAGCUCGUAGGCGGUCUGUCGCGUCGGCUGUGAAAUCCCGGAGCUCAACUCCGGGCCUGCAGUCGAUACGGGCAGACUGGAGUUCGGCAGGGGAGACUAGAAUUCCUGGUGUAGCGGUGAAAUGCGCAGAUAUCAGGAGGAACACCGGUGGCGAAGGCGGGUCUCUGGGCCGAUACUGACGCUGAGGAGCGAAAGCGUGGGGAGCAAACAGG